rnacentral:lncRNA from 1 species
CUACCUGUGUGUGUAUUAACACGCCGGCCUCCUCAUUACCUGUAUCAACUAUGGCCUGAGUAUGAUAGACUUAUCCAUGGUUUAAACAGAAUAUAUUGUUUUCAACUUUGAAAAUAAGAAUAUGGAAAUCCAGAUGCAGAAAUGUGAGAAGAAAAGAGAGUAAACAGAGUGGAAGGUCAGGUGACCUUGCCUGUCAUGAAUAUGAAGGUCAAGGUGUGUGAAUUGUGAAAUUUCCAAGAGAACCUCACUGAAGCAAAGAAUGAAGAAAGAAUUGCAUUUGGCCCUGGGAGGGUGCAGGGGUGAAUGGUGCAGGAGCUAAAUCUUUAUCAUACCCAGAAAUCAACAGCCACUAUUUGAAAUCAUCUAAAUUCGUGCUGCUAACCUUCAGUGUACACACGAAUCACCUGGGGAUCUUACUAAAAGCUAGUUUCUGAUUCACUAAAUCUGUGUGUGGUGGAAGUUGAGGGCAGAGAAGCUCCCGAGGGUGUCAAGCUGACUCUGAACCCGACUUUGAGGGUUAAGGUCCCAAAUGGCAUCGCCAGCACCAGGGACAGACACUAAAAUUGUAGAAAUCGUCUCAAGAAAUGAACAGCCUCUAAGUCAGAUGUUGAAUGUGAAAGAAAUCAGGGUGUGUACGUGUGUGUGCAUUUGUGUGUGCA